GGGAAAAUUUGAUACAUAUUAAUGCAGUUUAGAGGUAUACAGUGUGUACCAUGUCUCAUUACACUUCUUUAUAGUCAGUAGAGAGAAGAAGGUACUUGGAAUAUAUAACUCAUCUAGUCUGUUUUACAGAGGAGAUGCACCCAUAAAUACCCAAUUGUGCAGAACAUGAUCAGACAGAUGGGAGAAUUAAAGGAACAGAGCUGUGAAGUUACCUGUUCAAAGCCAUAAAGGAGACCAAUGAUAAAUCCAGGUGUAUAAGUCGACUCUCCUAAAUUGCCUUCUAAUGCCAUUAACAAGCCAGUGUAAUCAAAAGAAAGUUUGCUUUCUGGUGUUACAAUGAGCUGGCUUGCACACAGGUGAUGAGCAUGCUCAGAGAAUAUGUCUGGUUAGCAACAAUCGAACCUCUGAAAUAUCUGCAAUUCAUCCAUGCUUCUCCCACCAGCAGGUGUCAUUCUGGAAAAAGGAAAAUAUUGUAAAUUCCUGAACUGGAGAAUUUGGCUGUGACAAAGAAGAAGAAAAAAAGUUUCCUUAAAAUAUAGCUUUUGAAGGAUACUUCACUCCAAACUAAAACCAAGAGAAAGCUGGCUGGUCUGCAUUUUUUAAUAAUCUUUGUGCAGUGUGUAGUCUUGACCUAUAAAUAACAAAGGGCAGACAAUUGGUAAGUCCAGCCAAGUUUACCUUCUCCUCAGCCAUUUUUAGACGGACUACCAAGGACUGUGCUACUGUGAUAUGAUGGCCCAGCAAACUCUUCCUGGAAUAAAAGGGAAAUUUGCUUGAGGGGAAACAUGAAAACAAGUUCCAAGGCUUGGCCGCAAGGAGCACAUUAAAGAUGGACUCCCAAGGCAUGGCUGCAAUGGUUGUUUGGAAUAAGAAACAGAUACCCUCUCGGUGUCAUUCAUCUAUGAUCACUGGGAAUUGGAGCUUGAAUGAAGGUGAAAGAAAACUCCUACACAGAACUGGGAAUGGUUUGUCUCUUAACAGGGGUAUAAUGUCAGUUUAAAAACUUUUACCAAAUAUCAGGACAUGUGAUAAGAGGUUAUGGAUUGGGAAUUAAUUGAAAGAUUGUGAAAUGGGAAAGAAUUCACAUUAUGGGAAGCGGUGGAGGACUACAACCUCAACAUUCGGAAAUUUGUGACCAUGCCCAUGGAAUAUUUUGAGGUGAUGGAACUAUCUCAGAUGACUGUUGUUUUAAAAUAUAAUUUAAAAACCCCUGUACCCUUCCCCAGACAGACUGGAAAAAUACAUUCCUUUUAUUAAUAUUACUCCAGGGGACUGGAGGGUAUUCUGAGCAGUGAAACAUACAGUUUAUGGGAUUCAUACAGAAUUCAGAUUAAAAAUAAUAAAAAAAAAUGGCAGUACUAAUUUGUACCUGGGAGUUGGUAUCUGUUUUAAAAAAUUCUGUUCUAAGAAUAAUUAUUUUACAUUUUUAUAUGUAUUAAAUAGCAUGUGUAUGAUGAAACAUGAAAUGUAUAAUCAAAACAAUGGCUAUGAGUAAAGAACUGUGUAAAUACUACCUAAACAUAUGUGCAAACAUUAUAUAAACUGUUUCAUUUCUAGAGGUUACAGAAAACACUUUAAGAUUUUAUACAGUCUUUCCA